ACUCGAGUAGGGCCCAAGCCAGCCAGGAAGGAGGAGGCAGCCAGAGUGUUCUCUGCAGCAGAAGACCCCUUGCUGCCCUGCUCAACCCAGACCAGCAUUUGCCAGGGGGCAGGUGAGCAUACAGGGUCAGCAAAGAGGAGACGUGGCUGGCCUAUGGAGCUUCAGGAGCUGGCAGUGGACCUCUUGCUGGAUUGUAGGUCUUGCUCGUGCCCAACUAUGCUGUCCUCUGAUGCCGGCUUGGCAUCUUUGCAAAUCUCUUUAAAAUCUAUCAUAAACUGUCUAUGGCUCAUCUGUCACUGCUUAUUUGAAAAAGAAAGUUCACUUGCAAAGACUCCCAAAUAUACCUGUCUUUCCAGAAUAUCUACCUGGCAGUUAAAAUAACAAAGAGUCUGGUGUCAAACGAACACAUAUUGUAGCACUUUGGUGGACUACAGCCAAUCAGUUGCAUGCAAUAUUAUCCUGGGUGGCAGGUACAGAGGAGAAGAAAAACAGCUUAUCUUAUAUACAUUCCAGCUCUACACAGAAUUGACACAGACUUCACCUCUUGUGUUUCAAGGCCAUUUGACUCCACUGUUUUUGACAAUUCUGUGUAGAGCUGGAAUGUAUAUAAGAUAAGCCCAGUGACAAUUCACAGCAGCAGCAAUGGGUGAUAACAAGAUCCUCCUAGCCAUGCUAAGUUAAUUAACCCUGAAUGUGACAGGAAACCGUUGUCUUGAUUCAAGCUUGAAUAGAUAGAAUCAAAGAAUAAAUUCUAACUCAGCUGUUAUAGCUGCAAAGGUGCUAAGAUACAAGAGAGUGUUCUAAUUUAUUCUUACAGACCUAUUCCUAUUCAUGAGCAGAUAAGCUUUCAGGUUUCACAGAGCUAAACAUCACCAGCCUGAAGCAGAACUCUUUGAAACUUGAAAAUGUGUCUAAUCGACAAGCAUUUGUUAUCCUAAUAACGUACUGACACUACAGCUGCCACGAAAAAUCAUGAGUGUAAAAAAAAUGCUGAUAUGUUAUUUUGACCAGCAAAAUGAGUUAUUCUAUUCUGAUAAUUUUGUGCAGUUUCUGUAUUUAUUUAUUUAUUUUAUUUAUUUUUACAUUUCUAUACCGCCUUUCGUUAAAAGAAAACCCCAAGGCAGUUUACAAAAAUUAAAACAUACAAUAAAAGCAGUAAAAACAUCAAGCUAAAAACAUAUAAACAAGCAUAAAAACACGACAACAUAACAGAUAAAAACACAGAGAAGCCGCAGUAAAGACGAUCAUGUAAAAGCCUGGGUAAAAAGCCAAGUCUUUAAAAGCUUUCUAAAAGCCGUGAUGGAGUCUGAGGAACGAAUGGCCACCGGGAGAGCAUUCCAGAGUCUAGGGGCAGCAACAGAGAAGGCCCUGUCCCGAGUGCACGAAAGCCGGGCCUCUCUCAUUGUCGGCACCUGGAGCAGGGCCCCCUCAGAUGUCCUUGUCAAGCGGGCAGCAACCCUUGGGAGCAGGCGGUCCCUCAAAUACCCCGGGCCCAAACCGUUAAGGGCUUUAAAGGUCAAAACCAGCACCUUGAAUUGGACCCGGAAACGAACCGGCAGCCAGUGCAGCUCUUUCAAAAUGGGGGUGAUAUGUUCCCAACGGGCAGCUCCAGAUAACACCCUCACUGCCGCGUUUUGCACUAGCUGCAGUUUCUGGAUAUUCUUCAAGGGCAGCCCCACGUAGAGUGCAUUACAGUAAUCCAGCCGCGACGUGACUAAGGUGUGGGUAACCGUGGCCAGAUCUGCCUUCUCGAGAAAGGGACGCAGCUGGCACACCAGCCGAAGCCGUGCAAAGGCACCCCUGGCCACCGCCUCCACCUGAGCUUCCAAAAGCAGAGCCUGGUCCAGUAGUACCCCCAAGUUGCGUACUUGCUCCUUCAAGGGGAGUGCAACCCCAUCCAGAACCAGUAAAAUCUCCUCAUCCCGACUGGCUCUCCUACUGACCAACAGUACCUCCGUCUUAUCUGGAUUCAAUUUCAGUUUGUUAGCCCACAUCCAACCCAUCACGGCCUCCAGCCUCCAAUUCAGGACAUCCACCGCCUCCCUAGGAUCAGAUGACAAGGAGAGAUAGAGCUGAGUGUCAUCCGCAUAUUGCUGACAACUCAGUCCAAAUCCCCGGAUGACCUCUCCCAGGGGCUUCAUGUAGAUGUUAAACAGCAUGGGGGACAAGACCGAUCCCUGCGGGACCCCACAGGCCAACGGCCACGGGGCCGAGCAGUAGUCCCCCAGCACCACCUUCUGGACCCUCCCCUCAAGAAAGGACCGGAACCACUGCAACGCAGUGCCUCCGAUUCCCAUACUUGAGAGGCGGCCCAGAAGGAUACCAUGGUCGAUGGUAUCGAACGCCGCUGAGAGGUCCAGCAGAACCAACAGGGACGCACUCCCCCUGUCUAGUUCCCGGCAUAGGUCAUCCACUAGAGCGACCAAGGCAGUCUCAGUACCAUACCUGGGGCGGAAGCCAGAUUGAAAAGGGUCCAGAUAAUCCAUAUCAUCCAAGACCCUCUGCAGCUGGGACGCCACCACACGCUCCAUCACCUUGCCCAAAAAGGGAAGGUUAGAUACAGGUCUAUAGUUGUCCAGGUUGGAGGGAUCAAGGGAGGGCUUUUUUAAUAGUGGUCUUACCACCGCCUCCUUGAGGCAUGAUGGCAUCCUGCCCUCCCUUAAUGAAGCAUUAACGAUCACCUCCAACCAUCUGCCUGUCCCCUCCCUGGCAGCUUUUAUUAACCAUGAAGGGCAAGGGUCAAGAGCGCACGAAGUCGCCUGCACACUGCCGAGAAUCUUGUCCACAUCCUCAGGCCGCACCAACUGAAAAGAAUCCAACACAACGGGACCAGAUGGUACCAAAGGCAUGUCUGCCGGAACUGCCAAAACUCUGGAGUCCAGGUUAGCAUGGAUGCAAGCGACUUUAUCUGCAAAGCAACAGGCAAACCGAUCACAAAGAGCUGUAGAUGACUCCUCCCCCAUUGUCUGGGGGGAUGUGUGGAGCAAGGUUUUCACCACACGAAACAGCUCUGUUUGUCUGCACUGAGCAGACGCAAUGGAGGCGGAGAAAAAGCAUUUCUUCGCCGCCCCCACCGCCACAGCAUAGUCCCUAAAAUGGGCUCUAGCCCGUGUUCGGUCGGAUUCGUGACGACUCUUCCUCCAGCGUCGCUCCAGCCGUCGCCCGAGUUGCUUCAUCGCCCUAAGCUCCGAGGAAAACCAAGGAGCCGAACGGGCUCCACCAAGCCGGAGAGGGCGUUUAGGAGCAACCGUGUCAACAGCCCGGGCCAUCUCUCCAUUCCAGAGAUCAACCAAGGCCUCGACAGGGUCACCAGCUCUGGACACUGGAAACUCCCCGAGGGCCGUCUGAAAUCCGAGCGGAUCCAUAAGCCGCCCGGGGCGGACCAUCUUAAUCGGCCCACCACCCCUGCAGAGGGCAGACGGAGCAGUCAAACUAAACCCCACCAGGUGAUGAUCUGUCCAUGACAAGGGAGUGGUCUCAAAUUCCCCCACCUCCAGAUCAUUUAUUUCCCAGUCGGCAAAAACCAGAUCCAGAGUGUGUCCCACCACGUGGGUAGGGCCCGAUACCAAUUGAGACAGGCCCAUGGUUGCCAUGGAGGCCAUGAAAUCCUGAGCCGCACCCACUAGGGGGGCCUCAGCGUGGACAUUGAAAUCCCCCAAAACAAUAAGCCUGGGGGAACCCAAGGCCACCUCCGAGACCACCCCCACCAGCUCAGGUAGGGAGACUGAAGUGCAGCGGGGUGGUCGGUACACCAGCAGAAUCCCCAGCCUAUCUCGGAGGCCCACCCUCAAGGAAAAACACUCGAAAUUCUGAGAUUGCCUGACCGGGCACCUGGAAACGGGGAGAGUCUCUCGAAAGAUGACUGCAACGCCUCCUCCCCGACCCUCGAGGUGGGGCUACUGCAUGAUCUGGAAACCUGGAGGACAAAGCUGAGAGAGACCGACCCCGCCCAGCGCAUCCAACCAGGUCUCCGUCACAUAUACCAGGUCAGCACGCUCAUCCACAAUCAGAUCGUGGAUGAGAGAUGUUUUUGCGUUAACUGACCUGGCAUUCAGCAGCAGCACCCUAAUCCUCGAAGGAGUGUUCUCAGAGCUCCCUAGGGUCAGAGGGUUGGGAGAAGGGCCGGAAAAAGGAACAGACCUCAAUUGCCUGGACCGAUUUCCCCUGUAACGGCCCGCCCAACUCCCACUGCCAUACCUCCCUCUGCCCGCUACCCGUGAUAUUGCCGCCCCCACUCCAGACCCACUUUUUCGCUCUCCCAGGCACAUCUCCCCAGACUAACCCACCACGGCCACUUGGCUUAAUAAAAACCAGAACCAGGCUGAUGUAAACUCCUUCUAGCUUCUCGAUUAAGGGAAGACGGAUCUUCAGGCAGAGGAGAGAGAUCUUCUGGGCCCCCAGGCAGCUCGCCCCAUGGCUGAGAGCCACAAGGACGAGAGCCCCUGGGCCAGCCUGCCCUAUAUAAUGGCAGAAGCCCCAGCUCAGCAGCAGCCCAGGAGAUGUAACACACCUGGAGAAGAGUAUUUAAAAAGAAGAAGCCUGAGCUGAAGAUGAUUGGACAGCAAGGGGGUGUGUGUCUGUGAGUGAGUGAGUGAGUGAGAGAGAGAGAGAAAGAGAGAGAUCAGUGCCAGUGCCAGUGCCAGUGCCAGUGCCACAGCUGGCCAAGUAAGCACAGGCCCAAGGAUUCACCCAGGAUAUUGACUCUCCUUGUGGUAACUCUAUAUUUUGUUAUCUUUCUGUGUGACUCUAUGGUCCAAUUUGGAUGACAAGUGAUACCAUAGGUAUGCUUAUCUGAGGUUAACCUCGGAAGCCACAAAUCAUGCCACAGAUGAUACGGCAGCUCCAGUUUCUUUGCCUCCAUCAGCAAUCUCCCUCCCUCUUCCACUUCCUCUUCCACCGAGCGUGUCAUUUGACCAGCAACCAUUGACUGUGAAAUUUGGAGUGGGAGGGGUUGCUCAUGGGAGGAGCUUCAGCGCAAAUCCCAGGUGGCCGCAUUCAGAUGGCACGAUGGGGUUAGCAGAGCUCCGUUUCCAGCAACCUGCCCAACUUCAAGCCGAAGAUUCAAUCUGCAGUUUAGAGGCAACAGCGGGGUGGCGGUUGUGGGAUUUCCCCACAUCCGGACAAAGAGAAACACCGACCUCAGGUAAGUGUAACUGAGGGUUGGCAUGUCGUCUGAAUGAGGCCUGUGUUUUCUUUAGGGCUGGCACCACAACCGGGCCAAAUACCAGGAUGGGUCCAACUUCCUUGUUGUGGAGUAGUUGCCGUGUGAGUUACAUGUAUACAGGUAAGAAAAUAUAGAAUAAUGUAAUGACACUAUUUUCUUUUCUAUAUAUGUAACACUACAUGUUCUUUAGAGCUAGUGCUACAAGGUGAGCCAAGUUGGGCACCACCUGAGGGCCCAUGCAAGGGUUCAUCUGGGAUCUGGCCAAUCCCUUAGUGGUGGAGAAGGUGCUGCACAAGUUGCAUAUGUAGAGAUAAUGAAAUAUGAAAUCAUGUAGUCAUUCUCAUGACUGAACUGGGGAGGCAGGCGCCUACCUGCCUCCCCACACAGGAUCAAUUCUCCCCACUAGGUUCUGCCGCUCACACAGCCAGGUGUUCCUGCCACUCAGCAUUGUGCAAGCUCAGGCUGCAGGCUGACUGGGGUAGAAGGGCACGCUUGCAGCUUUCGACCGCAGCAUUAGUCUGGGUAAAAAAACUUGGGCUACCCGGCAGGGCAGCACCAAGAUUGGGUCCAAGCAACCCUACCCAGGUGGGGCUGUGCAAGCCUGGGUAGGGCUGCUUGUGUGCAUGCCCUCUAUGUUUUCUUAUCUCUAUAUGCAACUGGAGCAGCAGAUCCUCCUUGUCCCGCCCUCCCUCCUUCCCAGCCAAUAAUAAUGCAAAGACCUUUGAAAGGAAAGGAAACUGGCCAGUGGGAGUGGGAAGACUCAAAGCUGAUGGUGAAGGUCUGCACUUUGAGGGCUGGGGAAUAAAGAGAAAGACUGCUGCCACUAUCCAGUAAGCUCUUGUGGGUGGGCACCUGCACCUAUAUAUAUGUGUGACUACUUAUAUGCUGCUCCUCCACCAUGAUGGCAUUGCCUAGUCCCUCAGACCUGUGCCUGACUUGGCUUACCUGUGGUAUUGGCCAUGGAGGCAGUGGUGUGUGUGUGUGUGGGGGGGACUUCCUCUACCUGCACAUCACUGAGGAAUCAUGGCCUAGAUAAUUGUGGCUGUGUUAAAUCAUUAGUUUGUAUUUAAAAAUGGCUUCAGUGACUUAACAGCUUCAUCAAGUGCUGCCAGCACGUUGUUAAACAGUGAAUUUUAAUCCACAUUCUGGCCAUUUAAAAGUCUCACACAUGCACUUAGAGGAUUAUUAAUCACUCACUCACUCAUUCAUUCCUGGUUGUUAGACUGAGGUGGCUUCUGUGGAUGGUAUCAACAGCAUGAUAGCCUCUUCACCAUACAAGAAUGUUCCUGAAAGGAAAACACAAUCUUCGCUUCUCUAGUGGGGCUCCUUUUUCUCACUGUCAUCUUAAGGAUAGAGACUGCUUUCCCCAAGUGUGCAUACAUCAAAACUUACAGCCUAAACCUGUGUUUUUCUGCACAGAAACAGCGGCAUGUGGGAUCCAGCAUUCUCUUGUGGUGAUGCCAGAUUUGCCUCUGCUGUGUCUGCUGAUAAAGAGGUCCUGCAUAAUCGCUAGUUUCUACAGUUGUGCUGUGCAAGGUGCAUACAGAGUGGAGCAUUUCAUUCAAUGCAGUGUUGGUGGAGCAGCCUAUGACUCCUGCGUGGCCUGUGCCGGACUGUCCUGAAGAGCCACAGUUCCCCGCCAAAGUUUGCAUGCAGCUGCAGAAUGAUCCUAUCCAUGUUUACUAAGUGGCUCUGAUGCUCAAGUCCCAACUGAAUGAGUUUCAAUUGUCUGAGUCUCUACACUGAUGGAAGGUCAACAAGGAGCGGGAAGGAACAAUAGUGAAUUGCGGCAGCGGUGGGGGGGAGACUGAUGUGUUCUCAUGCAGGACACUUGAUAAUGGCCACAGCCUUUUUACCAGAUGGGUGACUGCACUCCAUUGACAUACCAACAGUUGCUGAAAAUCUGGGUAGUGCAGAGGAGGAAAUGUGGGGCAAAUGCUGGAAGGAAAGCCAUAUUCUAGAAGGGUGUGCCUUGUUUUAAAGCUGCAGCUCCAAAAAACUGUGUCGUUCCCACAUCUCUGUUCCUCCCUGCAUUGUCAUGUUGCAUCUGUCCAGGCAGCCAGUACUUCUGUUACAGUCCUCUUCACAGUCUGCAAUGCAGCCAUCCCUCUCUCAGUCCUUCUCCAAACUCACUUAGACUCAGUUCAGACAUAACAGGAAACCAGAGGUCCCUUCACUUCCAGUAUCCUAACCCAAACAUCUGAAUUCAGGGAAAUGGUGUUUGGGGGGGGGGGACGACGACGACACGUGGCUUCCUUUGCCAAAUUCCACUCUGAACCUUCAGUCAGAGAGGAGUUUCACCACCACAAACUCCAUUUCUGCGGUGCCAGUGUUACAUCUGAACCCGCGGUUGGACCCACAGCUCUAUGUUACGUCUGAACUGUCCUAAUGUCUCCAUCCUUUCUCUUUCUGUCUCCAAACUCCCCAAAAUCAGGUUGUUACUGCAACUGUUGGAGAGUGUCUCCUGAAAAACAUGUGGUACAACAAUCAAAAGAGGAUUGAUUGUUCUAUGGGGUACAAUGAAUGGAACUGCCUCAAUGGGGUCAAGGUUCUACAAGGAUCUAGUUAGUUUGAUAACUAUAGAUUUGGGAGUGAUUUGUUUCCAGUUACACAGUGCAGCAUCCAGAGAUGAACAGUAUCUGCAGUUUAAACUUUCAAUUCUCAAUUAGUAAAUCAAACAUGAAAGUUUUAUAGUGACGAAUAAAACUUAGUCAUGUUCAAGUUCUGGUUAAAUCAAAUUCAAAUGAGCCCUGAGCUGAGCUUCUCUUAGUCCCACUUCAGACAUUAUGAAUUACCUAUGCAGAACGCUCUUCAGUUUAGGAAAAAGCACACCAAAGCUUGUUGACCAUUGCCUACAUAGCUGAGUAGUCCCAUUUUAGGAGUGAAACCUACAUGUUGUACAAGCCAGACUGUUACAUAGCCUGAGACUUGUGCCUUGAAUUGACUUGCCUGGGAUGGCAGGAACUGUGCCCAUCUCUAACAAUUUGCAUCUUAGAGCAAACCAGGAACCUAAGGUCCCCAAACAAAAGAGUUCUGAAUGGACCAACUCAACCCAUCUUAAUGCAAUCAGGACAAUUCCAUGCCAUUGGUCAACUGGCUUAUCAAAAACUGCAAUUUUUUUGAUUUUUUUAACCUUCCUAUUCAUUUAGCUUCUCUGACCAGCUUUCCAGAAAUUAGCAGGUGCACCUUGUUUCAUUGUCCUUUGAAGAAACCUUUUUCAGAAACAUCCUCGGUUUUUGUUCAAGGCUCCCUGUUCUUUGUUUUGUCCCAUAUAAUUUCCCCUGGAUCUCUGAUCCAAGUGUGAUUUCCAGAGCAGACUUGCUGACAGAUGCUCUGUCCAUGUCUCCCCUGAAAAUUCCAGUUUGGGUGCUCUGCUACUGCCAAGAUUGCUGGCAUAGGCAGUGCUUGAGUCUCCCCUGGACUUCAUGAAUCAGGCACUGGCCUUGUACUCCUGCUCCCUGGGACUUUUACACACAGCAGGCUUUACCACCAGUUUACCGUGAGGCUUUACUGUGAACUUGAAGCUGUCCCCAAGAAAUGACGCAAAAAGUGGAUUGUUUUACCCUGGAUAUAAAUCGGACUACACUUUAAUGCACAGUGGAAAACCCAAAUUGUCUGUCAACUGCUCCCCAAUAACUCUCAGAGACUUCAGGGUAAAUCUGGCUGAUAUGUGAACACACCCCCUGCAUUCUGGAGGAUAUGUGAGUUAAAGGGCUUUAAAAGCCUCAUGUGAAAAACUUCCUGGCUCCAGCCCAGUGAAGACUUUCCUGUGGCUUGGAAUAUCAGAAGCUCUCACUUGAAUUCACCACCCCCUUGAGAUUUCUUCCCUUCACAACAGAACUGGGAAGGUAAUGCUGCAAUUUCAUCCUUCCUUCCUCCUCAUUCCCUCUACUUUCAGUUUCUCAGCCACCACUUGACUUCAUGCCACUGUCCUGAGACAAAAUCUCCCCCCUUCUCUUACUCUCACCCCUCUGUUGCUGGGAUAACCAACUCCCUUCAGAUCCAUCCUGAUGACCAAUAUUUACUGGCUGUUCAUUGUGUUUUCUUUGUUGUAAUGAAAUGUUUCUUUGGAAUAGUUGUGGCCUCCUGGCUCCUUUGUACAAUAGGAUGCCUUACAAUGAUGCUCCACUGUCCAGACAAAAAAAUUGCAGUCAUGCACAUUGCUCUGGUUGAGUAAAAGUAGGGAUGUGUGUGGCUUUGAACAAUAUUUUGAAGUUGGCAUGUCUUUGUGGCAGAUUUGGGGCAGAAAAGGGGUUCUAAGGGCAGAAGAGUGGGGCAGGUAGUAGUGCCCCAAUGGGUGCCUGCUACCACCCAGAUUUCAAAGAAACUGGUGAAAGGGGUGAUUUUUAAAAAUUGUUUGAAGUUGGCACAUCUUUAAGCUUUUCCCCCAUAGGGAAUAAUGGGGAUUUCAGCAGCUGGAUAACUCUAUUCUGGGGGCACCAGGGUGGCCCAGAGUGGGUUGUGGUUCUGCACAUGUUCUGUCCCUCUCCCCCCACCGACCUCCCUUCAUGCAUAUACUCUUUGGCCUGUUUGGGCCUUCCCCCUCUGGCGUGGUGGCCAUUUUGGAGGCCACCAUGCCUUGCAAUUGGCCUCUGUGUAACCCAGGCCAUGCAGAGGCCAAUUGCGCAGGCACGGCGGCCUCCAAACUGGCCACCGUGCUGGAGGGGGAAGGCCCAAAUGGGCUGAAGAGUUUGGUGGGGAUAGACAUGAAGGGAGGCUGGCGGGGGGAGGGGGAACCUCCACGGACCCAGCCCCCACUGCCUCCAACAACUCCCUCAAAGGGGGUAAGUAAUAUGUGUGUGUGUGUGUGUGUGUGUGUGUGUGUAAAUAAUUUUUUUUAAAAAAAAAAUGUCCGUGAACCUCCUGAAAAGUCGGGGGUUGUUCAGUCCAGGGUCGGACCAAAAAGGGGAUGAUUUGGUUUGAUCCCGAAUGGUCGAACCGAACCAGUUCAACUUUGAACACAUUCAACGUUGAACCUAUUUGCACAUCCAUAGUGACAGGAGCAAAAAGCAACCCAUGUGAUGUGAGAGCUGGAUGACUGGGUCCUACAUUGGUCCAUCUGGCUGAGACAAUAUAGUCUCUCAUGCCUUUUUGUUUCCAGAAGGGAAUCUCAUCUGUGGCUCACACUUGUAAUUUUUGUCCAUCUGACCACUGCCGCUCCGUGGGCCUAGGGCUCUGUCUCAUGGGGGAACUUCAUGGCAAUCACAAUUGCCCCAUGAUGUGUUGUCCUCCUUUCUGCUGCUGUUGCCAGAUAGUUAAAGAGCUGCUCUGUGGACUGAGCAGGGUGGGUCAAGACCUGUCUGCUCUUCCUCUUUGACUUCUUACACAGUUGUUAUUGGCCAGCCAUGCAAAGUGUGAGUGGCUUUGGUCUUAUCAUUCCACUAGCUGAGUUCACACCUGGCUUGCCUGGUUCCUAUCCUCUGUCUGUGCUUUCUGCCAUCUGAGUUGCAGAAGCUUGAAAUGUGUUUUGAGUGUGCGUCCUGUUUUUAGUGAGUUGCUGAGACAGAAAGUAAUUGCCACACUACUGUAACUGGUUUUAAUUCACAGCUUUGUGUAAUGUUUUCCAAAUGAAAAACAUGUGGGUGCAUUUGCGACUGAGGGCAUUUGGGGCUGAGGGCUCUCUUUAUGGUUUACGGUGGGCAAAAGUGUGUUUUCCUGAAAAAUACUGGUGAUUUUCCUGCAGAUUGGUGCAUGCUGGUGGUGUUGCCAUGGAUGCGGAUCCGAACUAUAUGCCAACAUGAGGAUAACCAGGAUGCUGGUGUAAUGGGAGUAUAGGUUUCCCUGAUGAAUCAAAUAAAUGGGUGAUUAACUGAUUGAAA